AUUGAACGCUGGCGGCAGGCCUAACACAUGCAAGUCGAAUGGUAACAGGAAACAGCUUGCUGUUUCGCUGACGAGUGGCGGACGGGUGAGUAAUGUCUGGGAAACUGCCUGAUGGAGGGGGAUAACUACUGGAAACGGUAGCUAAUACCGCAUAACGUCGCAAGACCAAAGAGGGGGACCUUCGGGCCUCUUGCCAUCAGAUGUGCCCAGAUGGGAUUAGCUAGUAGGUGGGGUAACGGCUCACCUAGGCGACGAUCCCUAGCUGGUCUGAGAGGAUGACCAGCCACACUGGAACUGAGACACGGUACAGACUCCUACGGGAGGCAGCAGUGGGGAAUAUUGCACAAUGGGCGCAAGCCUGAUGCAGCCAUGCCGCGUGUAUGCAGAAGGCCUUCGGGUUGUAAAGUACUUUCAGCGGGGAGGAAGGGAGUAAAGUUAAUACCUUUGCUCAUUGACGUUACCCGCAGAAGAAGCACCGGCUAACUCCGUG
rnacentral:rRNA from 1 species